rnacentral:rRNA from 1 species
AUUGAACGCUGGCGGCAGGCCUAACACAUGCAAGUCGAACGAGUGGCGGACGGGUGAGUAAUCUCUGGGAAACUGCCCGAUGGAGGGGGAUCACUACUGGACACGGUAGCUAAUACCGCAUACCAUCGGAUGUGCCCAGAUGGGAUUAGCUAGUUGGUGGGGUAACGGCUCACCUAGGCCACGAUCCCUAGCUGGUUUGAGAGGAUGACCAGCCACACUGGAACUGAGACACGGUCCAGACUCCUACGGGAGGCAGCAGUGGGGAAUAUUGCACAAUGGGGGCAAGCCUGAUGCAGCCAUGCCGCGUGUAUGAAGAAGGCCUUCGGGUUGUAAAGUACUUUCAGCGGGGAGGCGUUACCCGCAGAAGAAGCACCGGCUAACUCCGUGCCAGCAGCCGCGGUAAUAC